rnacentral:rRNA from 1 species
UACGUAGGGGGCGAGCGUUGUCCGGAAUUAUUGGGCGUAAAGAGCUCGUAGGCGGUUUGUCGCGUCGGCCGUGAAAACUUGGGGCUUAACUCCAAGCUUGCGGUCGAUACGGGCAGACUUGAGUUCGGCAGGGGAGACUGGAAUUCCUGGUGUAGCGGUGAAAUGCGCAGAUAUCAGGAGGAACACCGGUGGCGAAGGCGGGUCUCUGGGCCGAUACUGACGCUGAGGAGCGAAAGCGUGGGGAGCGAACAGG